rnacentral:rRNA from 1 species
CCUACGGGUGGCUGCAGUGGGGGAUAUUGCACAAUGGGGGAAACCCUGAUGCAGCGAUGCCGCGUGAAUGAAGACGGCCUUCGGGUUGUAAAGUUCUGUCGCAGGGGACGAAAAUGACGGUACCCUCCAAGAAAGCUCCGGCUAACUACGUGCCAGCAGCCGCGGUAAUACGUAGGGAGCAAGCGUUGUCCGGAAUUACUGGGGGUAAAGGGGGCGUAGGUGGGUGGAUAAGUUGAAUGUGAAAUCUAUGGGCUCAACCCAUAACUGCGUUUGAAAAUGUUCGUCUUGAGUGAAGUAGAGGUAGGUGGAAUUCCUGGUGUAGCGGUGAAAUGCGUAGAUAUUAGGAGGAACACCAGUGGCGAAGGCGGCCUGCUGGGCUUUUACUGACGCUGAGGCUCGAAAGCGUGGGUAGCAAACAGGAUUAGAUACCCGAGUAGUC